GGUAAAGAGGUAAAAAUUUUAAGAAAGAAAGAUUAGGACCUGCCCUAGUCGAGCAUCGCUCUCUGGGCUUAGUAGAGUGUGGUUGCCGGAGUAAAGGUCCCUGGUCAAGCAUUGCUCUCUGGGCGCCGGCUUAUUUGGAAAUUUAAGUGACCAGACUGGAGGUAAGGUCCCUGGUCGAGCUAAGCUCUCUGGGCGCCAGUCUUAUUGGAUAAGAGAGCCGAAAGACUAAGGCUGAGAGUUAAGUGACCGGACUGGAGGUAAGGUCCCUGGUCGAGCUUUGCUCUCUGGGCGCCAGUCCUAUUGGAAUGAGAGGUUUGAGAUGAUAGAGUUGAGGUUAGUUGAGACAUAAGUGUUGAAAUAAUCGAGAUUUUAGAGUUGGGAUUAGAGUUCUACUGAAGUACUCCGUCCCGUUGCAUGUGGAAUAAAUUUUGUUUAAGCAUGGCAUGACACAUAUGUUUUAACAUGACACGUAUGGUUCGCGUGAUUUAUUAAUUAUUUUAAAAUUAAAUAAGGUGACAUUGAGAUAUUUGAAACUGUUAUAGAUAUAUGAUUUUAACUCACUCUCGAGACUGACAGUCUCUAUUUACUGUUUUUCAGAUUCGUGACUGUUAGUCCUCUCGCGACUCUUAUUCAGUAACCCGACUCCUUCAUCAUCGGGUGAUGUAUUUGAUUUGGUAUGUAAAUUGGUAAAUCUUAGAUUCUCCGCAGUAAUAAUAGUAAAUGUAUCAGUUGUAAAUUUUCUGAGUUUCAGGUCUCGCCUAGUUUUUCUGGCAGACCGAAGUAUUUAUGUAGAAUGUAGCUGUUAAGAUAAAUUGUGGCUUUAAUAAUAUUAAUUUGAGAUGAGAUUUGUUUAAAUCAGUGAGUGUCAGGCUUACUACGGGUUUCGGUGGCCUUAAGCCUACCCCCCUAGUGCCGGUCACGGGCCCACGGGUGGGGUCGUGACAAAGUUGGUAUCAGAGCUUAGGUUUAGAUUUCCUUCGACCUAAGUUGAGAUUUUUCUUGGUACUGCGGAGUUAGGAUCAUGUCUGUCUUGUUGUUUUCAUUGACUCCAAUGUCUCAGCCUUCUUUGUUAGAGAGUCUGUCAUUCUUUUCUUGUGAGCUUGUCUUUGGUGCCGUGCUGAGAAUGAGCUUUGUAGCGAUGGGAAGAUUCGAAGCGUGGUAGACUCGUGCUGUUUCUUCAAGUGAUUAGUGCAGUCCGCCUUUUGAAGCUUUGAUUGUUGUUUCGAUGGUGGGCACCGCAGUCAGUUUUAGUGUAGAGCGUGGUUGCAGUCAUGUCAUGAGCUGCCUCGUCAUCGCAUCAGGCAUUGCCUUAUUGAGUAGCGCCGAAGUUAGUGCCUGGGAAGUCGAGUAGAUGUCAGAGCUUUAUGGUUGAUUUUUGUGGUUGUAAGAAGCUUAAGAAAGGUGGCAGGAGUAUUUUCGGACGCUCGGAAAUCCAGAGAAACUUAAGCGAACAUUGUUUAUUUUUCUAAGUAGAACAAGUGUUUUAAAAUACAAUAUUGCGCCCAGUCCCGUAAGAAUGCAUAUGGCAUUUCACUGUUAGGCAUACAUAAAUUCAUUUUAGGACAUGCAUCAUACAUUGUGCAUUGCAACCCUUGGUGAUAGGGGCAUCAUCACCCUGGUGCGCGAUAUUGUAGAAUUUUAUAUAAAGAGAAAUGGCUGGAGAUUUUAUGAUUUUACAAAAGUGUUCUUCCAAGAUGAUAAAGCUUUAUCAGUGAUGAUUAUAAAGUAAAUAAAUAAGUAAAUUUUUCAAAGUAAAUAGUGUUAGCUUGAGAAUUCUCUGGAUGACGAGCUGAGUUGCUGAGAGAGUAAGUCUGUGGAGCUGCAGGCCCCAUGUUAAAUAAUAAAGGAGGCUUCUGGAUUUCAGUCAAAGAGAAAUCUUGUGUCAGGAUGGCAUAGGUUGUGUUGGUUGAUGCAAUCAGAUGGAUGUUAUGUCGAGGAUGAUGUGAUGUAGAUGUUAAGGAUUUUUCUGUACGUGCAAGGGGCACGUCAUUAGGAAGGAAAUUUGGUGAGUGGAUUUUUGGCAGGAUCAGAAUUGGCCCUUCUUGUGUGGAAACCCUUGGUUUUGUCGGCAGGUUGGUGAGGUGGCAUGUAAGUUGGACUUGCCGCCAAGUAUUAGUAAUGUUCUCUGAGGUUAAAUCCAGUUGUUUGUAAGUCUGAGCUGAGGAAGUGUAUUUUCGAUCCUUUGCUCGUGUUGGACCCUUAGUGUGUGGAAGCAAGUGAAGAAUUGGUUUCCAAGGAGUAGUAAGUGAGGAUCGCGGAUUUUCAGGUUCGCCAGUUUUAUUUAAGGGUUUUAUUGAUGAGUCUUGUGGUUUAGUUUAGUUUCUGCCGAGGAAAAGUUUCCGAGGAGCCGAGUUGGAGAUGAGAGGUUCCUAAUUAGUUUCAGUCUUAGAGUGUAGCCCCUUUUCUUUUAAAAUUCGAGGUCGAAUUUUUUUUUUAAGGGGGGGAGAAUGUAACACCCGGAAUUUUUAUAUAUUUAAUAAUGAGUUUUUAUUUAAGUUAAUUUUAGCUUUAUUUUUAUUCGGUUUAAUUGGAAUGAUUUAAAUACAAAUUUUGAAUGUUCAUGUUAGAUAAAUAAAUGAGUUAUUUUCCAUAUCCAAUUAGUUUGAUUUUUAAGGAGUAAUUAAGUAAACUAUUUGAGAAAUGAUUAUAUUUUGGUUAUUCAAAAUUUUCCCAAAUGCAUAUUUAUAUAAGUAAAAUUAUAUAUUAAAAAAAUUUGGAAGAAAUUAUAAAGGAUGUUUUUAUAAAAGAAAUUUGAGAAAAUUGGUAUUAUAAUUGAUUAGUAGUAUUAAAUUUUAAGUUGGAAAUUGAUUAUUUAAUUUAAUUGUGUGCUAGGACUAAAUUGGAAAUUUAUUUUAGAAUAAGGAUUGAAAGUAUAAUGUUAUUUUUAUGGGGUUUUAAUGGAAAUUUGUGAGUUUGGUAUUUUUGUAAAUAAAUAUGUCGGUCAGGGGUAUUUUUGUAAUUGUGUAUUUUCAAUAAUUCGGAUUUGGCCCAAAUUAAAUAGUUAGGGGCUUAAUUGAAAGGCUAAAAAGAAGUUUGGGGGUUAAAUUGGAAUUCUGCAGGAUGAAAUUGUAAGUAAUUAAGAAAGUUGAGGGACCAAAUUGUAAUAAGGAAAAGUUUGGGGGCCUAAUGUCGAUAUUGAAAGGAAAGAAAUCGGGGAAGAAGAAAGGAGGAGAGAGAGAGAGAGUGCGGCGCCGGGAAGAGAGAGAGGGGGACGCUGCAGGCGUCGGUGGCGACCGUCGGGGGCGUGGAGCGCUGGCCGACGGAGCGGCGUGCGCUGGCGAGCGCAGCGGCGGCGGAAGAGCGCGAAGGCAGCGGCUUCCAGGCGUGUUUCCGGCCGUUUCCGGCGUUGUUGGUGGCCGAGUUGGGUGGCGAUCGGCUCCUCUCGGCGAGGGCUCUCUUCUGGCAGCAGUGGCGACGCCUAGGGUGGCCGGAGUUGCAAGAUCCGGCAAAGUGAAACUUAGAGUGGCAGCCGUGUUUUUGGGCUUUUCCGGCGAGCUCCGGUAGUGGAUGGAUGAUCGGAGGAUGUAUCCCGACUCUCCUAAUCUCAAGCUUCGCAUUGGCACCGGUUUUGUGGCGAUCGGGUUUCGUUUGCAAAUCGAUGGCCGAGAUCGUCCGCAAAUUUCUUCGGAUGAUUGGGUGUCAGAUCGAAAAAUCAGAAGCGGGGAUCGUCUUCAACGCGUCGUUGUGAGUCCGAUGGUGUGUUCGGAUCGUCGAUCGGACUCCGGUGGCCGGAGGCGAGUCGACCGAGCGAUCGAGCGUCUCGGUAAUUAUCUUUGGCCCGUUAAUUUUGGAAUUCUUGGUUUAAUUGUGUCUAAUGGUUUAUAUUGAGUAUUUGAUGAUUUUUGUGAGUCAAAAAUAUUUGUCUGUCAGUUGGCCUGCCAUAGUCGUAUUUUGUGCUGUGUGGCGGAGUCGGGAAAUAGUGAAGUUUGGGGACCCGACUCCUAUUGUUUGAAUCGUUAAGUAUUUGAAGUGUUCUUCUGGCAGGUCCUGGACCCGUUUCUACGGGGGUUAAUGUUCGUGUUGUAGGGGAGGUUUUGCCGGAUUUUCGGUAGAAUUCUCCCGAGUCGAGAUUCUUAGACAGUCAGUCCUAGGAGUCUAGACCUAGGAUUAAUGAUCGAUUGUUUCAGCGUUUUGAUAAAUUGUUUUUCGUGAUUAGAUGAUCUGUCUGUUCGGCUCAUUCCAACCGAGGCACCGGAGCAGAGCUAGGAGGUCGCCCAACCUGUGAGUUAAAGUCAUAUAUCGCUUACGCACGUGUCAUGCAUAAAAUUUGAUUUGCUACUGUGAAUAUUUAUUUGCAAUUUCAAUUUUUCAUUUAAUUAUUAUUAUUAUCAUUUGCAUGAUGCUUUUAAUUACUAUUUAAAUAUGUUUUUCCUUUAUUACCAAUUUUAAUAUUGCAUGAUGACUCAGGAUGGGACAGCAGUAGAACAUAGGAGUUGGAUGAGUGUCCCAAUAUAAUCUGAGAGAGAUAGGGAAAGGGUAAAGAGGUAAAAAUUUUAAGAAAGAAAGAUUAGGACCUGCCCUGGUCGAGCAUCGCUCUCUGGGCUUAGUAGAGUGUGGUUGCCAGAGUAAAGGUCCCUGGUCGAGCAUUGCUCUCUGGGCGCCGGCUUAUUUGGAAAUUUAAGUGACCAGACUGGAGGUAAGGUCCCUGGUCGAGCUAAGCUCUCUGGGCGCCAGUCUUAUUGGAUAAGAGAGCCGAAAGGCUAAGGCUGAGAGUUAAGUGACCGGACUGGAGGUAAGGUCCCUGGUCGAGCUUUGCUUUCUGGGCGCCAGUCCUAUUGGAAUGAGAGGUUUGAGAUGAUAGAGUUGAGGUUAGUUGAGACAUAAGUGUUGAAAUAA
rnacentral:lncRNA from 1 species